CUUAAAAAAGUAAUAAUAUUACUUUACUUAACGAGUUACGUUACCCGUUACAUUACUUGUUACGUUACUAUAGUACUUUCACAACUGCCGCUGACCUGCAACACAGCUGGCCAUUCACAUCGAAUACAAAAAAACGGCGUUCCAGUAACACAGUAACCAGUAAUGGAUUAGUAACUAUAAUAAUAUUACUGUUUUGGAAAUAGUAAGCCGUUAAACUACUAGUUGCUAAAAGUAAUAAUAUUACAGUAAUGUGUUACUGCCCAACCCAACACUGGUUUGGACUGCCUCAUGUUGAGUGCCUGGAUUUACAUUCUACCCCCUGCUUAAAGCCCUGGACUCUCUGUUCUACCUGCCAGCCCCGGAGAUUACCCGGAACCCAGAACCCACUUGCCUGCAAAUCAGAACCAUUCACUGCCCCUGGACAACAGAUCACUGCCCCACUCGCCUGUCAUCCCUUUGCCUAUGUCUUGUGCUGUGUGUCUGAAUUCUGGUCACCAGCCCUGACAGUUGCUAUGUAAACAUACCUCAAAGCUCAUUGCGCACCGUUGUAAACCAUUUUGAGGAAACCUGGAGGAAGUUUCCAUUUUUAUUGUUUAUUAAAAAAUAUAUACUG